AAUUAUAGAAUAGAUAAAGCUUCUUACGUUUUGGAUGAUGUCCACAGAACUGAGACAAUUGAAAGGCUUGAUGAUAUUUUGGAGGCCAUAAGUGCUGCAGUUUCCAGGAACAAUGGAAUGGUGGAAAGGGGCCUGGCUUAUUGGCAAAAACAAAAGAAAUCAUCUCCUGUUAAUGAGCUCAAGGUUUCCUUUCUUGGGGAGGCUGGAGCAAACACAGGGGCACUCUGGAAAGAGUUUCUGACCGGAAUGAUCGAAGGCAUUGAGAAACAGGGGACAGUCAUGGCAAGAGGCCCAAGUACUUAAUGUCUGAUUUGGACAAGGGUCAUUCCAGGCUGAUGCAGACUGUGUAAUGUCAGUUUGCUGUGCAGACUGCAUAUAAAAAAGGCACAUACAAGCAACAAGUUGAGAUGAAGAUGAAAGAACAUACCGUAAUAAUUGGACCAUGUUACCAGCCUGUUUAA